GCCGAGGUUUGCCGUCCCUUCAAUGACAAACACUACAUCAGCAACCUGGUUGGCCCCUGGCUUAGCGGAUGGCUCCAUCAUCGUUGCACCUGUCACCGUGGAUAUGGACAUACAGGUCUGCAACUAAAGGCUGAAGUAAUGGCCAAUAACCAGCCAUCAGAGAAAAUUUGAAGAGC